CUAUUGAUAGUUUUUUGUUAAUUCUAAACCAAGUUUUUAAUAUUUUCAGCUUAAAUAGGAAUUGACCAUAAUUUUCAUUGGACAAACAUCUAAACCUGAGGUAAAGCAGUUAAAGUUAAAUUAACAUUAAUAAACCGGGGUCCUCCUAUAUUUUAUUUGUCUUCCAUUGCCACUGUCUUCAAAUAUUUAGAGCUCAUGCUCAAAACAAAACUAUAUUAGCAAUAGAAACACCAGGCGGAAAUCGAAUUCUAGUUAAAAAUAUUAUUGCCCAGCAAAUAACUACUGUAGCUAGUAAUUGUUUUCAAUAUUAUAUUUUCAAUAAUAGUAAUUGUUUUCAAUAUUAUAUACCAAAUGUUUUUUGAAUAUGCCUCUUUUACGAGUUAUUUGCUGGGCAAUAGUAUUUUUAACUAAAACUAUAUUAUUACAGACAAGACAUUUAUCAAACUUCAUCUCGAAAAAACAUCAAUGCAAAGUUUGAAUUAUUAUUUUGUUAUUUUGUUGUUUAGUAUCACAGUUCCUCUGGAUGACACAGAAUAUUGGUCAAAUAAGAAAUAUUUAUAUACUGGUGUUGGUCAUCGUGAAACAUUUGAUCAAUCACUGCAGACAAUCUAUCAUGACUUGUACAAUAAAGCUAGCCAAGUUACACUGUAAAACUAGUGAGUUUUAGGGCAAAUAUAUUUAUUCUAGUCUGA